UGCCCUGAUGUGGGGGAUAACUAUUGGAAACGAUAGCUAAUACCGCAUAAUGUCUACGGACCAAAGAGGGGGACCUUCGGGCCUCUCGCUUCAGGAUAUGCCCAGGUGGGAUUAGCUAGUUGGUGAGGUAAUGGCUCACCAAGGCGACGAUCCCUAGCUGGUCUGAGAGGAUGAUCAGCCACACUGGAACUGAGACACGGUCCAGACUCCUACGGGAGGCAGCAGUGGGGAAUAUUGCACAAUGGGCGCAAGCCUGAUGCAGCCAUGCCGCGUGUAUGAAGAAGGCCUUCGGGUUGUAAAGUACUUUCAGUCGUGAGGAAGGCAAUAUAGUUAAUAGCUGUAUUGUUUGACGUUAGCGACAGAAAGAAGCACCGGCUAACUCCGUGCCAGCAGGCCGCGGUUAAUACG
rnacentral:rRNA from 1 species